rnacentral:rRNA from 1 species
UUGCAAGUCUGGUGCCAGCAGCCGCGGUAACUCCAGCUCCAAUAGCGUAUAUUAAAGUUGCUGCAGUUAAAAAGCUCGUAGUUGGAUCUCGGUAUCACUGUUUCCUGCCAUACCUCGAUCAGUUGGGCUAGCGCUGCAUGGGUUCCGCUCGUGUUGUCCUAGUUCGGUUGCUUUGAGUUGGCGUGGUAGCGGUGUCACCUUUCAGCCAUGUCUGUGGUGAAAUACCCACAGGUGUAGGCGAGUGUCAGGCGGUGCUUUGCUUCACGUAAGGUCCGUCGGCUCGUUUGCAUGCCUUUGGAUGCCCUUCAAAAGGUGUCUGUGGGCGGAUGGCACGUUUACUUUGAACAAAUUUGAGUGCUCAAACCAGGCCGAUGUUGCCUGAAAAGUUUUGCAUGGAAUAAUGGAAUAGGACUUCGGUUCUAUUUUGUUGGUUUUCGGAUCCGAAGUAAUGAUCAAAAGAGACAGGCGGGGACGUUUGUAUGGUUGCGCUAGAGGUGAAAUUCAUGGACCGUAAUCAGACAAACUAAAGCGAAAGCAUUCGUCAAGCAUGUUUUCAUUGACCAUGAGCGAAAGUCAGAGGCUCGAAGACGAUCAGAUACCGUCCUAGUUCUGACCAUAAACGAUGCCAACUGACGAUCCGUGGUGGUAGUUUAUAACAUUCCCCACGGGCAGUCCCCGGGAAACCUUUAAGUCUUUGGGUUCCGGGGGAAGUAUGGUUGCAAAGCUGAAACUUAAAGGAAUUGACGGAAGGGCACCACCAGGAGUGGAGCCUGCGGCUUAAUUUGACUCAACACGGGAAAACUCACCCGGCCCGGACACUGUGAGGAUUGACAGAUUGACAGCUCUUUCUUGAUUUGGUGGUUGGUGGUGCAUGGCCGUUCUUAGUUGGUGGAGCGAUUUGUCUGGUUAAUUCCGAUAACGAACGAGACUCUAGCCUGCUAAUUAGUGCAUCUGUCCACUGUUCCUGUGCAAGCGGCGUUUUGGCGAUUCUGCUCAGUUCAUCUGCUGUGGAUUGGGCGCCGGUGUGUUGCGCUAGGUUGCCCUCGGGUGGCUUAUGUGUGGCCGCUGGUGUUCGCUGCAGUAGUGUGGGCGGAUGGACCGGCGUUUGCUUCCGGGUACGGCGCGGGUGUCUACUUCUUAGAGGGACAAGCGGGUGAAACCACACGAAAUUGAGCAAUAACAGGUCUGUGAUGCCCU